CCUUCCUCCUCUCGAUGCGGCGGCGUUACUCCCUCGAUGCGCUGUCGAUCCGCGACAUGAUGCUGCGGGACUGCUUCUCCGCCGGUACGGUCUAACCCCCUCCCCUCUACACUUCCUCCAUAGCCCCUAAUGGAACGGAAGAGGCACCCAGCCUGUCUAUCGAGGGGAUGGCAAAGGCGCAUGGCGCGGCGGCGGCUCUAUCCCCCGACGGCGGGUACACGUCGGACACGCACGACGAGGGCCGGCCGCAAGAAAAAGAAGGAGAUGGCAGACGAUUCGCCGCCACCGACCAAGGUCCCAAACCAGUGGGUCGCCACAACUCCCUGAGCGACUGCGUCAGCGAGUGGGUUAGUAGCAUUGACAGCGAAAGCCUCUGCAUCGCCGAGGAGGAGGACGUCGCUGUCGACGACCAGAGCAAGGACCUCACGGACUACGUAGCCCGCCCGCGUCCCAUCGUGGUCGGGGAGGAGUCAGGUAGGAGUGUAGAAAAGGGCAAGCAGGCACAAUGAUUCGCCACUCCUGUUCUUCUCCAUCUUGCAAUUGAAGAUUCAGGAGGCCAGGAAGGCCACAAGUGAGGCAUCCAGCUCGACUUCGCCAUGCGGGUGCGCUGCACAUUCCACCCAUCGCCGGCAAAUCAUUCGUCAGCUGGGAAGGUGAGCAAGCAGGUACUGCCUUGCGCUUUCUGUUGUUCAUUUUCCAUUUCAUUUCUUGAUCAGCGUUCGCGUCACCACUUCAGAAUGCUGUUAUCUGAAGCUUAUCUUGUUUUCUUUGACUCAAAUAUUAUUGUGAGUACGCCAUUAUAUUAUUUGUUAGAUUUUUUAUCGAUCGAGUAGAUACUUUUCGAGACAAAAUGACUCGUGUCUGAAACUUAUGAUCUCUCCAGUGUACUUACAUUUUGGUAGCAUGUGCACUUCAUAAUUAUAUUAGUAGAAGCACUGCUUAUAUUAGCAAUUUAUUAGUACAUACUCUCCAAUUCACCACGCCUGCACAUUUUGACCGGUGUACCCUGAUAAUUUAUUAGCUUUGUGAUCGAUCAACAUAUCGUUUAGAACCCAAAUGUACUGUUAUCUGAAGCUUAUUGUUUUAUCGGUGUAAUUCGCAUGCUGAUGAUUGUACUCUCCAGCUCUCCAGGCUUGAACAUUUUCGUCAGUGUAACCUGAUCAUUUCCUAGCUUCUUCAUAAUUGAUUCGACCAUCAGAUACUACAUUGCCAAUUUUCCGGUAAACUACUACAGUAUCAUUUUCCAAUUUCAGGUAUGAAUAUUGCUAAAUGUAAAAUUCUCUUGCGGGCGAGAAUAUGUGUUGUAAAAAUUUAUGAAGUAUUUGUAGUGCCUAUUUUAUUUUCUCAAAUAUAUUAGUUUUUCCUCAAUAUUUCUAUUUUUGAGAUUUUGUGACGGGGGCCUUUGCGAGAGAACUUUUUGUAGGAGGCAAAAGUGGUAGGGGCACGGACCUGUCCAAAAGGCCCUAUCCUAGGACGUCCCUAGAAAAAGUCACCUUUUAAUCGACUUGAAGGCAUCCCACUCGACGGGUUCAAGACACUUGACCAAGAAGCUAUCACUCGACC